UCCCUGGUGGUCUAGUGGUUAGGAUUCGAUGCUUUCACCACUGCAGCCCAGGUUCAAUCCCUGGUCUGGGAA
rnacentral:tRNA from 1 species